GGACGGGUGUGCACUUAGGAUGCGCUCUUACGAAGCCUUCGGGCUUAAUGGCGCACGGGUGCGUAACGCGUGGGAAUCUGCCCUUGGGUUCGGAAUAACAGUUAGAAAUGACUGCUAAUACCGGAUGAUGACGUAAGUCCAAAGAUUUAUCGCCCAAGGAUGAGCCCGCGUAGGAUUAGCUAGUUGGUGAGGUAAAAGCUCACCAAGGCGACGAUCCUUAGCUGGUCUGAGAGGAUGAUCAGCCACACUGGGACUGAGACACGGCCCAGACUCCUACGGGAGGCAGCAGUGGGGAAUAUUGGACAAUGGGCGAAAGCCUGAUCCAGCAAUGCCGCGUGAGUGAUGAAGGCCUUAGGGUUGUAAAGCUCUUUUACCCGGGAUGAUAAUGACAGUACCGGGAGAAUAAGCUCCGGCUAACUCCGUGCCAGCAGCCGCGGUAAUACGGAGGGAGCUAGCGUUAUUCGGAAUUACUGGGCGUAAAGCGCACGUAGGCGGCUUUGUAAGUUAGAGGUGAAAGCCCAGGGCUCAACCCUGGAAUUGCCUUUAAGACUGCAUCGCUCGAAUCCAGGAGAGGUGAGUGGAAUUCCGAGUGUAGAGGUGAAAUUCGUAGAUAUUCGGAAGAACACCAGUGGCGAAGGCG
rnacentral:rRNA from 1 species